AACGAACGCUGGCGGCAGGCUUAACACAUGCAAGUCGAACGCCCCGCAAGGGGAGUGGCAGACGGGUGAGUAACGCGUGGGAACAUACCCUUUUCUACGGAAUAGCUCUGGGAAACUGGAAUUAAUACCGUAUACGCCCUACGGGGGAAAGAUUGAUCGGGGAAGGAUUGGCCCGCGUUGGAUUAGCUAGUUGGCGGGGUAAAGGCCUACCAAGGCGACGAUCCAUAGCUGGUCUGAGAGGAUGAUCAGCCACAUUGGGACUGAGACACGGACCAAACUCCUACGGGAGGCAGCAGUGGGGAAUAUUGGACAAUAGGCGCAAGCCUUAUCCAGCCAUGCCGCGUGAGUGAUGAAGGCCUUAGGGUUGUAAAGCUCUUUCACCGAUGAAGAUAAUGACGGUAGUCGGAGAAGAAGCCCCGGCUAACUUCGUGCCAGCCGCCGCCGUAAUAC
rnacentral:rRNA from 1 species